UACCAUUUAGAUAAUCUAAGGAAAGGACACCUAGCUCAUUAGCACGAGGCCAAGAGAGAGUAAUGCUGGUUCUGGGGGACCGAGAAGAAUUCAGGCGCCUGAAGGAUGUCCUUUGUGUCUUACAAAUCGUGUGUGGUGGAGCCUUCUCGGAGCGUAGAUGAAUAUUUCCUUCAAAUCAGUCAACCCUUCUUGUUCUUUGCAUUUAUUAAUGGAAACGCUCUCCGCUGCAGGGGUGAAAAGAGUGGUUUUAGACGCCACAGGCCUCCAGGGGCCAGGCAGGAAGCGGGGACAUGGGCGUCGAUGACAUGGGCGUCCCAGUCUCACAUCUCCCCAGUCUGCGAAGCUGAGUGCCCUCCUGCCCUCCACCUGGGAGCCUCGGCACUCACAGACCUGGCUCUGCCUGAAAGGGGUUUGGGGCGACAGUGGCUGCAUAGGUGGCAUGCACUCUAUUUCUACUGGAUGGCGCUGCUCUAGACGAUUGUGGACUGAAGAAUAUCGCCGACCUCAUCCUUUGCCCCAAACAGCUUAGUGAUCGUCCCCUCUUACCUGCAGCCGGGACUCUUCUUGAGCGGAAUUCGGGGCAGGAAGAUUUUUUCAUUUUGUUGAGCACCCAUGGCUUGCUGGGUCCUGUGCGAGGUAUAUCCCACCCCGGUCCCACGGAAUCCUGACGAAGCAGGGUCCUCAGCCCAUCUGCAGGUUUAUAACUGAAAACAUCCCGAUUUUGCAAAUAUGCAACCUAGAGGGCUGCCCCUGGGAACUGAAUCUGAGCUUCCCAUUGUGGCACCACACAUACACACUCCCAUGUGCGCACACACACAGACACAUACAUCAAAAUAAAUGGGGCCAAAGGGUUCCUCUGUGAGCGAAAAAUUUCUAGUCCUUUCAACAAAUCGAGC
rnacentral:lncRNA from 1 species